GACGAACGCUGGCGGCGUGCCUAAUACAUGCAAGUCGAACGGUCUUUUCUAUGGAAGCUUGCUUCCACUGGGAAGAUAGUGGCGGACGGGUGAGUAACACGUGGGUAACCUGCCCAUAAGAGGGGGAUAACAUCCGGAAACGGAUGCUAAUACCGCAUAAUAUCAGAGGCCGGCAUCGGUUUUUGAUCAAAGGAUUUAUUCGCUUUGGGAUGGGCUCGCGCCUGAUUAGAUAGUUGGUGAGGUAAUGGCUCACCAAGUCUGCGAUCAGUAGCCGGACUGAGAGGUUGAUCGGCCACAUUGGGACUGAGACACGGCCCAGACUCCUAC
rnacentral:rRNA from 1 species